rnacentral:rRNA from 1 species
UACGAAGGGGGCUAGCGUUGCUCGGAAUCACUGGGCGAAUAGGGUGCGUAGGCGGGUCUUUAAGUCAGAGGUGAAAUCCUGGAGCUCAACUCCAGAACUGCCUUUGAUACUGAGGAUCUUGAGUACGGGAGAGGUGAGUGGAACUGCGAGUGUAGAGGUGAAAUUCGUAGAUAUUCGCAAGAACACCAGUGGCGAAGGCGGCUCACUGGCCCGUUACUGACGCUGAGGCACGAAAGCGUGGGGAGCAAACAGG